rnacentral:rRNA from 1 species
UGCCAGACUCCUACGGGAGGCAGCAGUGGGGAAUAUUGCACAAUGGGGGAAACCCUGAUGCAGCGACGCCGCGUGAGCGAUGAAGUAUUUCGGUAUGUAAAGCUCUAUCAGCAGGGAAGAAAAUGACGGUACCUGACUAAGAAGCCCCGGCUAACUACGUGCCAGCAGCCGCGGUAAUACGUAGGGGGCAAGCGUUAUCCGGAUUUACUGGGUGUAAAGGGAGCGUAGACGGCUGUGCAAGCCAGAUGUGAAAGCCCGGGGCUCAACCCCGGGACUGCAUUUGGAACUGUGUGGCUGGAGUGUCGGAGAGGCAGGCGGAAUUCCUAGUGUAGCGGUGAAAUGCGUAGAUAUUAGGAGGAACACCAGUGGCGAAGGCGGCCUGCUGGACGAUGACUGACGUUGAGGCUCGAAAGCGUGGGGAGCAAACAGGAUUAGAUACCCCCGUA